UACGUAGGGUGCAAGCGUUUGUCCGGAAUUAUUGGGCGUAAAGAGCUCGUAGGCGGUCUGUCGCGUCUGCUGUGAAAAUCCAGGGCUCAACCCUGGACCUGCAGUGGGUACGGGCAGACUAGAGUGCGGUAGGGGAGAUCGGAAUCCUGGUGUAGCGGUGAAAUGCGCAGAUAUCAGGAGGAACACGGUGGCGAAGGCGGAUCUCUGGGCCGUAACUGACGCUGAGGAGCGAAAGCAUGGGGAGCGAACAGGA
rnacentral:rRNA from 1 species